rnacentral:rRNA from 1 species
GAUGAACGCUAGCGGCAGGCCUAAUACAUGCAAGCCGAACGGUAAGUUUGAUAGCAAUAUUGAACCUAGAGUGGCGUAAGGGUGCGUAACACGUAUGCAAUCUACCCGCAACAGGAGGAUAGCUCCCCGAAAGGGGAAUUAACCCUCCAUGAGAUCACACGAGGGCAUCUGAGGGUGAUUAAAUCUGAGGAGGUUGCGGAUGAGCAUGCGUCUGAUUAGCUAGUUGGUAGUGUAAAGGACUACCAAGGCGAUGAUCAGUAGGGGAACUGA